AACGAACGCUGGCGGCAGGCCUAACACAUGCAAGUCGAGCGCCCUCGCGAGGGGGAGCGGCGGACGGGUGAGUAACGCGUGGGAACGUGCCUCUUGCUACGGAAUAGCCUCGGGAAACUGGGAGUAAUACCGUAUGUGCCCUACGGGGGAAAGAUUUAUCGGCAAGAGAUCGGCCCGCGUUGGAUUAGGUAGUUGGUGGGGUAAUGGCCUACCAAGCCGACGAUCCAUAGCUGGUUUGAGAGGAUGAUCAGCCACACUGGGACUGAGACACGGCCCAGACUCCUACGGGAGGCAGCAGUGGGGAAUCUUAGACAAUGGGCGCAAGCCUGAUCUAGCCAUGCCGCGUGAGCGAUGAAGGCCUUAGGGUUGUAAAGCUCUUUCGUGGGGGAAGAUAAUGACUGUACCCCAAGAAGAAGCCCCGGCUAACUCCGUGCCAGCCGCCGCGGUAACAC
rnacentral:rRNA from 1 species